rnacentral:rRNA from 1 species
UGGGGAAUAUUGCACAAUGGGGGAAACCCUGAAGCAGCGACGCCGCGUGAUUUAGAAGGCCUUCGGGUUGUAAAAAUCUUUUGUAUGGGAAGAAAAUGACAGUACCAUACGAAUAAGGACCGGCUAAUUCCGUGCCAGCAGCCGCGGUAAUACGGAAGGUCCGGGCGUUAUCCGGAUUUAUUGGGUUUAAAGGGAGCGUAGGCCGUAGAUUAAGUGUGUUGUGAAAUGUAGACGCUCAACGUCUGACUUGCAGCGCAUACUGGUUUACUUGAGUUUGCACAACAUUGGCGGAAUUCGUCGUGUAGCGGUGAAAUGCUUAGAUAUGACGAAGAACUCCGAUUGCGAAGGCAGCUUGCGGGAGCAAAACUGACGCUGAAGCUCGAAAGUGCGGGUAUCGAACAGG